AACGCGAAGAACCUUACCUACCCUUGACAUGCCAGGAAGCCGGGUGAGAGCUCGGUGUGCCCGAAAGGGAGCCUGGACACAGGUGCUGCAUGGCUGUCGUCAGCUCGUGUCGUGAGAUGUUGGGUUAAGUCCCGCAACGAGCGCAACCCUUGUCAUUAGUUGCUACGGUAACGGGCACUCUAGUGAGACUGCCGGUGACAAACCGGAGGAAGGUGGGGAUGACGUCAAGUCCUCAUGGCCCUUAUGGGUAGGGCUUCACACGUCAUACAAUGGCGCAUACAGAGGGCUGCCAACCCGCGAGGGGGAGCCAAUCCCAGAAAGUGCGUCGUAGUCCGGAUUGCAGUCUGCAACUCGACUGCAUGAAGUCGGAAUCGCUAGUAAUCGCGGAUCAGCAAUGUCGCGGUGAAUACGUUCCCGGGUCUUGUACACACCG
rnacentral:rRNA from 1 species